UGCAAGCAGACGUGUGUCGCGUUAGCUGCGUAGAAAAGUUGUGGUUAAGUCAGGGCAAAGUGUGAAUUUGGUUGUAAAAAGUGGUUAAAACCGGUGGUGGGCUAAAUUUGGGAACAUUUUAACUCGUUUGAGCAGGAAAAUAGGUUUGAAUCGGGAAUUUGGAGUGUUUUUCGGGGCGUCUGCUUGAUGGUCGGCAUUUUCGGCACUCAAGUAGGCUUGGCGUGGUUUCCCCUUCGCUCACUUGUACCAUGGUGGCGGAUGCGCUGGUGUGUCGAGCGUAGGGGAGUGAUUUUCAUCUUGUAUUAAGUUUUAUUUGGGCUCAGAAUGGCGAGUGAUUUGUGUGAAACGAACCAUUUUUGCUUAGUCCAAUUUCAUAGCAUGGUUUUUGUUAGGGUUUUGUUUCACUGCGCUUGCAUGGUCCGUUCCCUGAACGUGUGCUCAGCAGGUAGCAGUGUUGAAGCGCCAAAUGCAGACGGCUUGGGUUAUGGUGGUGUGUGGUGUACACCAUUGCUUUUUUCAUAGAAUGGAGGGCUUCAUUAUUCUGUGUGCGUGGUCGAUCGGGGAACUGUACGCUUAUCGUGUGAUGUUUCGCAGUAUAUCCCUGUGAGUUUGCUACUUUUCAAUGGUCAAAUCACAGGAGUAUACUGUGAGAUGUUGCCGGUUACUUAGGCCAGCGAAGAGAAAAAAGGCGGGGUGAUGAACUGUGCCCGUCCGCCAUGUGCUUGUAGAUUUCGUCAAAGCAGGCAUAGGAGGCUUGUGCUUGUAUGUGUGUGUGUGAUGCGUGCGGCUUCUCUAUCUUCCCAUGUUCUGCUGCUUGCGGGGCGUGCUGUACCGUGAAACGGAAAAGAAGAACAGAUUCUUCCCGUCUCAGCUUUGGCAUGGUGUGGUGCAGUAGAAAUGGAAUUGUUAGAAAAAACGGACACAUGGAGUUAUCUAGGGAAGCGAUGCUUUCAAGACCAUGUGUUCGGCUGAGCGCGUGGUGUGUAAGCCGCGGUUGUGUUAUGCAACAGUUCAAUGUGAGUAAUAAUGGCAUUAAGGUGAAUCAAUAAACGAAACCUCCUCGCAUUCUAA